GUUUGUUUUGCUUGCAGGCAGCAGUUUAUCUUCUACAACAUCUGUGUACAAGCCAACACAAGACCAAUCUUGGAACCAUGAAGCAUAUUUAUUAUUUCCAGUUCAUUUGGAUGGAAUACUGGAUAAUGCGAAGGUUAUGAAAACUAAAAAGGAGAUCUUUUCAACCUCAGAUGUUCUUCAAAUAUUCCGGCAGUGACAGCCAACCUCAGCAGCAAACGAGCCCACUGUGGACGGCUGUGAAGAUCUAAUGUAGAACUAUUGGUUCAGAUUAAAAAUGUAAUAUAUUUAGGUUAAAACUAACUAUUUCUGUAACCAACAUGUAAGAAACAGUGUUGGUUAGUUACAACAGCAAUUUUUUGAAAUUGUAAAUAGAGAGGCUUGGUUUUUCCUCUCGAAACUCGAAAGAAUAGA